CUGUAAAUUCAGUCAUUAACUGUUUUCUUCGGUUGAAACAGUGUUAAAUGCGUCAAAGAAAUAAAUGACAAAGAAAAGGUGUGUACCGAUGCAUCAAGAAAUCUCCCUAAUUACGGCAAUGUAUAAAUUAGUGAAAACUUCUAUGAUAGACCACUGUGAAUGUGAUGCUCUAUCCAUUGAUAAUGAAGACUAUACUGGCGUGUGCUGUGAUUUUGGUAUUAGCUGUGUGCUUUAGUCAAGGACGAAUAUUAGGAGAUCAGCAGCUGAACGUUGGCGUAAUGGAAGUCCCUUUCCGGAUAGAUGAUAUCACCCCAGAAAGAACGGGAGGGAUAUACUAUACGGGUUCACGACGUAGGAGACCGUGUACAAAGAAAUACAGACUCCGAUGUGCUAUCCAAUCAAGAGGUGUCCCCCACCCUUUAUAGAGAACCUUCUCGGAGGUUCUAGUUUCCUUUCCCUAACUAACUCAAAUAUUCCACAUUGAAAUAUACAGAUAUAGAUACCAGUGGGGAAUAUCAUGAACGAAAAACGAUUGUUCGAAUAUGUUUUGUUAUAUCAAUGUAUUAACAAUCAUGAAAUUAAAUCUUCAUCUGUUUGUC